rnacentral:lncRNA from 1 species
UUCUAUGAUUAUGUAGACCCCAGUAUCUAUAGUUGACUUUUUACGGAAAAUAUCGGUCAGGGUGUGAAACAUACACAUUUGGUAAUUGAAAUUCGGAGAGAAUUUCCUUCGGAUAUUAGAUGUCAAAUAAGGGUUGGACACUCCCUUAGCCCCCGCGUACCUAUUAUAAAUAUUUUCGGGAGACUUUAUACUCAUGUAUCGCUAAUAUGUGAAUUAGCACAUCAAUUAAAAGACAGGGUGAGAUUUUAUCUUGACCUUGAUUUUUACUUGACCUAGCCUCUAUAUACAUACAUAACUAAUACCAGAAUUUUCGAAAAUCCGCCUGACUUUACUCCAUAUAAUUGGCGAUGGUAUGUAAAGUACCCUAAUGAAACCCAGGGACAGUUGGUCAAAAUGUAAUAUUUCAUAAAAAUUAAAAUGUACACAUUUUCCUAAACAUUAUGAAGUUUGACGCUUGUUAAAAAGGAAUCGGCCUAGACCUUGGUCUAAACUUAAUAUCCCGUUUGUUGACGUUUUCCGCAUUAACUCAAUAAAAAAUAAAUUUUGCUUCUUCGGUUGUGUUGAUAUCAUGUACAUAUCACAUUAUAUUACAUUUAAGACAUCUUAUUUGUAUUACGUUAUUGUCAAGGAUAUCAUGCACUCAUCUCAAAUUAUGAUUGAACUUUUCAAAAGUAGCCUACCUUCUAAGCUACAUCCCGCCCAAUUUUCAGCUAAAUCCCUUCAGCCGUUCUUGAGUUUUUAAAUCAUUUAACUAACACGACUUUCAUUAUUAGAUACUUAUAUGUAUAUGCACUUAUAAAUAGCUGUGGUUCGGACGUUAUGCGGGCACUUAAAGAAAUAGUGUUUCAUUAUUAUAUAUGUACAUAUAAGAAGAUUUCUACGCUCCCCACUCGACUAUUUCCUAAUGCUUAUAUACAUUUUAAAAUUCGAGCUAUCUUUCGAUUGGAAUGUCGAAAUCGAAUAAUUCAAAAAAUUAUAUAAAGGUAUUGAAUCAGGCUUGAAUAUGAGGUAAUUAAUAAGCAGAGGUAUUUUUAUUUUAAUUAUUAUUUUUCUUUUCUUUUUUAAUAAGAGAACACCUACGAGUAUUGUGACGAAACUAUGACAGUUUCACAUAUGUACAUAGACAGUACAUGUCGCGUCAUUUUAAUAGAUAACUAUAUAUUCUGCGAAGUCGUAGUACAUUAUUUUGCUCUAUAAUCAGUACUAUUCGCAGCGCAUGCUUCGUGAGGAUUUUUUUUUUUUCACAGCUUUGGUUACAUUAUUGGAAAUUCGGUAAGAUACUAAAACAAAAUUAAAUCAUAAUCGACAUUAUAAAAAGGAUUUUCCGGUAAAAAGUAUAAGCAAUAAUGAAGCCCACAUUCUGAAUAAACAAAUUAACAGAUAUAACAAUGUACUAAAUGUGAUAUUGAAAUGUAUAGUACGUUACUUUAUUGCGGCCACAAAAAGAUUAUAAUUUUGCAUAUGUGUACACAUAUAUAAACACAUGUACAUAUAUGUGCAUUAUUCUACAUUUUAUGACACAAAUUUGCUCUAAUAUUAAGGAAUUUAUGAUUCUUGAUUAAGAACUUCAAAUGUCGGUGAGCAGAUGCACGUUUUAAGAUAAGCCCAAUUAAAUAAAUAUCUUCUAAUAUGGCUCAUUAGCUGUGAUAACUUAUAUUUACUACUUAUAUAAGGUAAUAAAAAUGUUUUAUUGAGGUGGUUGUCAUUAUCUCAUUAGAAUUUUGAUAUACAAUUUGAAAUAUAAUCAAAAAUCAUUAUGACGCACGACUUUCCCCCCAUAUUUACAAUAUAAGAUUUCGUUAUUAACUUUGAUAAAAACCGGUUAAUAGUAAUUUUGAGCAUUUCAAAUUAAAGUUAUCAAGCCAUAAAAAGAAACACUGCUUUGGUUUUUCUUAGUUUUUUCUAAAAUAGCUGACUUCACGUUGCUAAUAGUUGUUGAUAAUUUAAGACUCAGUUACACAACAUAGCAAUUUGAAAUAAUUACUACUUAAUUUCCUAGUUUAACAAAUUUGACUUGAACAGGGGUUUCAAAAACAACUACAUAAUCGAAACAUAUUUCUCACAGCAGACAAACAUUGGCCGAUAUCUUUCUGAAUAAUUUCAAAAUAUGAAUAGCAAAUAAGGAUGCCUAUAUCCUCAUGCAUAUUCCUCAUACAUACAUAUGUAUAUAUGUAUAUACAUUUAGAUAAUAUUUUACCUUUAAAGCAUCUUCAAAUGUUUUAGAAUUCAUUUUAGUAAUGUUUGGACUUACAUAGUUUGAUAGUCAGUAGUAAUAAAUGAAACUGCGGUGGAACUUGUUUAAUAAGGUAAUGUAGGAGAUGUUAUCAUAAAAACUGAUUGUUUAAUAAGGUAAUGUAGGAGAUGUUAUCGUAGAAACUGAACGACAUCAGUAAAAAUCACUCGAAGUUAAUGAAGCAAUUAAUUAUAAUAAGCAAAAAUAUUGCAAAGGAAAGAAAAGUAAAUGUGGAAAUAAAAACACUUUCUAUGCUUCAAAUACUUAUUCUUUAUUCUUAUUUGUUUACUACCCUGACUCUGCCGUUUUAUGCUUAUAAGCAAGAGGAAUAGCCAAAGAGCCAUAUUUUAACUAUUGCAUUGAACUAAUGUGAAAUCAGAAAUUCGCUCAAAGAAGACAUAACAUAUAACGUUCAGUAUUUAUGACAGCUACAUACAUACAUAUAUGCUAUUAUGGUCUGAUUUCGGCCGUUCCGACAAAUGAGCAGCUUCUUGGGAACAAACGGACAUAGUUAGAUAGGCUAAGCUUAUCAUGCUGGUAUAUGUAUAUUGUUCGUAGUAAACUUACUAUACUCUGUUGAGGGUAUAAAAAUAAUUCGUCACAUUAGUGCUCCCUCUUGCGGUAUUUAUCUAGCCCCCAUGGUGAGUAUUCCUGUCAUAGUAAGUAAACUUACAAAAUUAGUCCGUAAUUUGGACUGAAAAACAAAACGAACUCGACAUUCAUACUCAAAAAUAUGGUUAAUCAAGCAUGGCAAUUCUUUCCGAACGAAUUACAGAUUCACAUUAAUCAAAACAAUAACCAUUAAUUAAUACACUUAUGCGCAAAUUACAGUAGUGGUACAUCUUAAAAACAUUUCGAAGACACAUGCGCAGCGUUACAUACAAAUGUAUGAAUAAGAUCUCAAGUGUUUUACUUUAAAACAUGUCUGUACUUAAAAUUGUACUUGUUUUGCUUUGCCAGUUGAAUGCAAUACAGUGAAUCUUUUCAUCAUCGGUCACGCCGUGACAAAAAGGAGUGUUUAAUUGUAAUUUAAUUGUUUAGCUGCAAUUCAGAACCGUAUUUCUAUAAAACAAAUAAAAGCGAGCCAAUGUCAGUCAGGAGUGAAUUAAUGAUAAUUAAAUCAUUGGUUUCCGUUGAGCCACCGCGAAUCGGACGGCACCGGCGGAUCUUUGCUGUGAUCAUUUUACAACUGCCUAGACGACGGCGAUCACAUGCGGCUUGAGGCAUCUCUGUUUUUAGGCCAAUUGCAGUUAGCGCUGAAUAUGCUUUAUCUCCACCCAAAUAAUUGAUAUCGUGACCCACUUUUAACAAAUAAUU